rnacentral:tRNA from 1 species
UUACUGGUAGGUUAUUUAAACUGACAAAUUGUGGUUUUGUUGAUUACGCUUAUAUU